rnacentral:rRNA from 1 species
GACGAACGCUGGCGGCGUGCUUAACACAUGCAAGUCGAACGGAAAGGCCCUGCUUUUGUGGGGUGCUCGAGUGGCGAACGGGUGAGUAACACGUGAGUAACCUGCCCUUGACUUUGGGAUAACUUCAGGAAACUGGGGCUAAUACCGGAUAGGAGCUCCUGCUGCAUGGUGGGGGUUGGAAAGUUUCGGCGGUUGGGGAUGGACUCGCGGCAUCAGCUUGUUGGUGGGGUAGUGGCUUACCAAGGCUUUGACGGGUAGCCGGCCUGAGAGGGUGACCGGCCACAUUGGGACUGAGAUACGGCCCAGACUCCUACGGGAGGCAGCAGUGGGGAAUAUUGCACAAUGGGCGGAAGCCUGAUGCAGCAACGCCGCGUGCGGGAUGACGGCCUUCGGGUUGUAAACCGCUUUCGCCUGUGACGAAGCGUGAGUGACGGUAAUGGGUAAAGAAGCACCGGCUAACUACGUG